rnacentral:rRNA from 1 species
GCUACGGGGGGCAACAGUGGGGAAUAUUGCACAAUGGGCGAAAGCCUGAUGCAGCAACGCCGCGUGAAGGAAGACGGUUUUCGGAUUGUAAACUUCUAUCAAUAGGGAAGAAAGAAAUGACGGUACCUAAAUAAGAAGCCGCGGAUAACUACGUGCCAGCAGCCGCGGUAAUACGUAGGGGGUAAGCGUUAUCCGGAUUUACUGGGUGUAAAGGGAGAGUAGUGGGAAAGGUAAGCGAUAUGUGAAAGACUUAAGCUUAACUAGAGGCUUGCAUAACGAACUAUCUAGCUAGAGUACAGGAGAGGAAAACGGAAGUCCUAGUGUAGCGGUGAAAUGCGUAGAUAUUAGGAAGAACACCAGUGGCGAAGGCGACUUUCUGGACUGAAACUGACGCUGAGGCUCGAAAGCGUGGGGAGCGAACAGGAUUAGAUACCCGAGUAGUC